ACAAAUGGGUAACAGCCCAUCCAGAGGCUGAAUUGCCAGGCAAAGAUCUCUUACCAUACCUAGACAACUCAUUUGAUACAAUGCUGAAUUAAAAUCAAAGACUUACAUUGAUUUUCUAGAAGGAGAAAAGCUAGGUAAAGAUGGAUUUCCCACCCAACACCAAGGAGGAGCACAGUCACUUCUUCACCAUGGAUUCUAUUCUCUCUUCUUGCCUGAAGAGCUUAGAUCUAUUCAACUGUGAAAUAACUUGUCCCCAUGUUAUGCAACCUUGAUAAUUCUCUGUUUGGCGUUACUCACAGAUGCUCAGGGUGGGAGCACCACAUCUAAAAAGGAAGGCAUAGAUGAGCUAUGGAAGAACCGGCUGUCACCACUGUAACCCCUUCCCUGGAUGAGCAUUAGAUGUGUCCAAGCCUUGUCAACUGCUGCCAGCCCCUGGAAGAGGAACUGCAGGCCUGCAGCCAUGGUAGGAUGCCUGGGAUACUCUCUGGGAGAUACAAAAGACUGCAUUGGAGAGAGUCUGCAGUUCUUUCCCUGGUAGCAAAGAGGAGCUACUCCAGCUGAGAAUUGGUGUACUAGAGGAAUGCAAUUUGGAAGAUGUGCGUAUGUGAAAUGACUGCAAGAAUCCCACGAAGCUCAACAAGGAGAAGUACAGAGUCCUACGAUUCCUGGUGGACAUGAGGUUGAACAUGAGUAAGCAAUGUGCCCACAGUAUUCUUGGCUGCAUUAGGCAAAGUAUCUCCAGCAGGUGAAGAGAGAAGCUCCUUCCUCUCUACUCAGACCUGGUGAGGCCACACCUGGAGUGCUGUGUCCAGUUCUGGGCUCCCCACUACAAGAGAGACCUAGACAUAAUGGGAAGGGUCCAAUGUAGGGCCACAAAGAUCAAUGAACUGGAGCACCUCUCCUGUGAGGAGAGGCUGAGAUGGUUGGGACUAUUCAGCCUGGAGAACAGGAGGCUCAGGGGGUUCUUAGCAGUUACAAAUACCUAUGAAAAUGCUAUUUUCAGUGCUGCCCAGCAGCAGGACAAGAGGCAAUGGGCACAAACUAGAAUACAAGAGGUUCCGUCUAAACACUAGGAAGCACUUCUUUACUGUGUGGGUGAUAGAGCCCUGGCACAGGAUGCACAGAGACAGUGUGGGGUCUCCCUCCUUAAGAGAUAUUCAAAAGCUGCAUGGAUGUGGUCCUGGGCAACCUGCUCUGGGUGUCCCUGCUUAAGCAGGGAUGGGACCAGAUGGCUUCCAGAGGCCCCUCCCAACCUUAACCAUUCUGUGAUUGUGAUCACAAGACUCAUGCCUGAGUAAGAGCAGAGGCAGGUAGAAUUUUCAUUUGCCCUCAAAUCUUCAUGGGAAUACAAAUAUUUACCUUUCAAAGAGAUGUGGCACAAUUAAGGAAUUUCAUAUUGGAUAGAAUAUGAAGAUCUUGGAUGGGAGACUGCCUAAGUGUAAAGCAUUAGAUCAUUAAUGCAUAGUUCAUGCUUCUAGUUUCUGAUGACCAAUGUAUGCAAGUAUGCUUUUUCUAGAAAAGAAUCAUUUCUGAGGUAAUGGUGAACAGCUGGUAGAGAAUUUAUAUGAGUUGUACAUAAUAUACACAUUGAAGAAUUUGCAUAGAUAUUUCAUUUCCUUCUUAAAUGUCAUAAGUAGAGAUCACUGGUGAGUGAUACCACGUACAAUCCACCUUUUGUUAAGUUACAUAGAGCCACAGCACAUUGAUCACACAUACCAAAUAGAAGACUUUAGCUCAAGAAAAGGAAUAUAAUUGUAGAAUGGAUUUGCUUGCACAAAUUAAUGGGAAGAUUUCCACCAAAGCAAGAACAUAUGUCACGGUAAUAUUGAUUUUGGUAUAGCCACCUCUUAAAAUACAGGCUUUACAGAGUCAAUAGUGCCUUGAUUUAGGUUCUAACCCAACCCAGAAGUCUCAAAUUCAGUUUUAUCCGCUUAUUAUUGAUUUGUCUGGCAUAGUGUGGGUUGUUGUUGUUGUUGUUUUUUUCCAGAAAUGCUUUUCUGCUCUCAAAUUUUAGCUAGCUCUCCCAGAAGAAUGUCUAAUACAGUCACAAAGAGCAAUUAUAUUCCUUACAAGUGAACUAUUGAUGAUCAUAAUAAAAAGGAAAGACAGAAGUCAUGUCAGUUUAGCUUC